rnacentral:rRNA from 1 species
AACAAACGCUGGCGGCGUGCCUAACACAUGCAAGUCGUACGAGAAAUCCUGGGCAACUGGGAGAGUAAAGUGGCGCACGGGUGAGUAACGCGUGGGUAACCUGCCCUUGAAUUGGGGAUAACUCCGCGAAAGCGGGGUUAAUACCGAAUGAUAUUCCGAUUCCUCCGGGAGUUGGAAUCAAAGGUGGCCUCUGCAUGCAAGCUACUGUUCAUGGAUGGGCCCGCGUACCAUUAGCUAGUUGGUAGGGUAACGGCCUACCAAGGCAUCGAUGGUUAGCUGGUCUGAGAGGAUGAUCCGCCACACUGGAACUGAAACACGGACCAGACUCCUACGGGAGGCUG